rnacentral:rRNA from 1 species
UACGUAGGGGGCGAGCGUUGUCCGGAUUCAUUGGGCGUAAAGAGCUCGUAGGCGGCUUGGCAAGCCGGGUGUGAAAACUCCAGGCUCAACCUGGAGGCGCCACCCGGGACUGCUAUGGCUAGAGUCCGGUAGGGGAUCACGGAAUUCCUGGUGUAGCGGUGAAAUGCGCAGAUAUCAGGAGGAACACCGGUGGCGAAGGCGGUGAUCUGGGCCGGCACUGACGCUGAGGAGCGAAAGCGUGGGUAGCAAACAGG